rnacentral:rRNA from 1 species
GGAUAGCGGCGGACGGGUUAGUAACGCGUGGGAAUAUACCCAAUGGUACGGAAUAGCCUCUGGAAACGGAGAUUAAUACCGUAUGUGCCCUUCGGGGGAAAGAUUUAUCGCCAUUGGAUUAGCCCGCGUUGGAUUAGGUAGUUGGUGGGGUAAUGGCCUACCAAGCCUACGAUCCAUAGCUGGUUUGAGAGGAUGAUCAGCAACACUGGGACUGAGACACGGCCCAGACUCCUACGGGAGGCAGCAGUGGGGAAUCUUCGGCAAUGGGCGCAAGCCUGACCGAGCCAUGCCGCGUGAGCGAUGAAGGCCUUAGGGUUGUAAAGCUCUUUCGCCAGGGAUGAUAAUGACAGUACCUGGUAAAGAAACCCCGGCUAACUCCGUGCCAGCAGCCGCGGUAAUACGGAGGGGGUUAGCGUUGUUCGGAAUUACUGGGCGUAAAGCGUACGUAGGCGGAUUGGAAAGUUGGGGGUGAAAUCCCAGGGCUCAACCCUGGAACUGCCUCCA